UAAAUGGGGCAGCUGGGUGCCAGCAAC
rnacentral:piRNA from 1 species